rnacentral:rRNA from 1 species
AUUGAACGCUGGCGGCAGGCCUAACACAUGCAAGUCGAACGAGUGGCGGACGGGUGAGUAAUGUCUGGGAAACUGCCUGAUGGAGGGGGAUAACUACUGGAAACGGUAGCUAAUACCGCAUACCAUCGGAUGUGCCCAGAUGGGAUUAGCUAGUAGGUGGGGUAAAGGCUCACCUAGGCGACGAUCCCUAGCUGGUCUGAGAGGAUAACCAGCCACACUGGAACUGAGACACGGUCCAGACUCCUACGGGAGGCAGCGGUGGGGAAUAUUGAACAAUGGGCGCAAGCCUGAUGCAGCCAUGCAGCGUGUAUGAAGAAGGCCUUCGGGUUGUAAAGUACUUUCAGCGAGGAGGCGUUACCCGCAGAAGAAGAACCGGCUAACUACGUGCCAGCAUCCGCGGUAUUAA